rnacentral:ncRNA from 1 species
UCUCAGGAGGCAGGUAAGGUGGUCUGAUAUUUCUAUCUCUCUAAGAUCAUUUUUUUCACUGACCCUGUGAGGUGGGGGGUGAGCCCUGAGGAUCUUGCUUCUGGAGCAACCCAUUGUGGGGACAGUGCCAGGUGGGGAGUUUGACUGGGGUGGUAUACCUGUCAAAGGUAACACAGGUGUCCUAAGGCAAGCUCAGGGACGACAGAAACCUCCCAUGAAGCAGAAGGAUAAAAGCUCACUUGAUCUUGAUUUUCAGUAUGUAAUAGUUAAAACUUCACCCUUUUCCGGACUGCUGGCAUCAACUAAUCUGUUCUUCUUCCAAAUCCGUUG